UGUUUAGCUCAUUAAGUACGCUUCAAUA
rnacentral:sRNA from 1 species